GACGAACGCUGGCGGCGUGCUUAACACAUGCAAGUCGAGCGGUAAGGCCCUUUCGGGGGUACACGAGCGGCGAACGGGUGAGUAACACGUGGGUGACCUGCCUUUAGCUCUGGGAUAAGCCUGGGAAACCGGGUCUAAUACCGGAUAUGACUCCAUGACGCAUGUUGUGGGGUGGAAAGCCUUGUGCGGCUAGGGAUGGGCCCGCGGCCUAUCAGCUUGUUGGUGGGGUGAUGGCCUACCAAGGCGACGACGGGUAGCCGGCCUGAGAGGGCGACCGGCCACACUGGGACUGAGACACGGCCCAGACUCCUACGGGAGGCAGCAGUGGGGAAUCUUGCGCAAUGGGCGAAAGCCUGACGCAGCGACGCCGCGUGAGGGAUGACGGCCUCGGUU
rnacentral:rRNA from 1 species